CCAGCUCCAAUUAUAAAGUUCAUCACAGUCCAUAAGUCCAGUACUUAAUAUUACAGUCCCAUUACAUAAAUGAUAACUAAUCAAGAUAAAGUUCUUCAAAAGCUUCUUCAAGUUCCUUGUCCUCCACCAUGUGUUGCAGCCUUGCUUCUGCAGCCUCCCAGUCUUUGAUGCAGGUGAGCAUCUCCACCAUCUCAGGCUUUAGCUUCCUCCGCCGCUCCUCGAUGAUCCUGCCAG
rnacentral:lncRNA from 1 species